AGUGAACGCUGGCGGUAGGCCUAACACAUGCAAGUCGAACGGCAGCACAGUAAGAGCUUGCUCUUACGGGUGGCGAGUGGCGGACGGGUGAGGAAUACAUCGGAAUCUACUUUUUCGUGGGGGAUAACGUAGGGAAACUUACGCUAAUACCGCAUACGACCUACGGGUGAAAGCAGGGGAUCUUCGGACCUUGCGCGAUUGAAUGAGCCGAUGUCGGAUUAGCUAGUUGGCGGGGUAAAGGCCCACCAAGGCGACGAUCCGUAGCUGGUCUGAGAGGAUGAUCAGCCACACUGGAACUGAGACACGGUCCAGACUCCUACGGGAGGCAGCAGUGGGGAAUAUUGGACAAUGGGCGAAAGCCUGAACCAGCCAUACCGCGUGGGUGAAGAAGGCCUUCGGGUUGUAAAGCCCUUUUGUUGGGAAAGAAAAGCAGCAGGUUAAUACCCCGCUGUUCUGACGGUACCCAAAGAAUAAGCACCGGCUAACUUCGUG
rnacentral:rRNA from 1 species